AGAGUUUGAUCCUGGCUCAGGAUGAACGCUAGCGGCAGGCUUAACACAUGCAAGUCGAGGGGCAUCGGGAGGGAAGCUUGCUUUCCUUGCCGGAGACCGGCGCACGGGAGAGUAACACGUAUGCAACCUGCCCUCUUCGGGGAGACAACCUUCAAAAAGGGAGGCUAAUCCCGCGUAUAUCGGUUUCGGGCAUCCGAGAUCUGAGGAAAGGAUUCAUCGGAAGAGGAUGGGCAUGCGGCGCAUUAGCUAGUCGGCGGGGUAACGGCCCACCGUGGCGACGAUGCGUAGGGGUUCUGAGAGGAAGGUCCCCCACACUGGUACUGAGACACGGACCAGACUCCUACGGGAGGCAACAGUGAGGAAUAUUGGUCAAUGGGCGGGAGCCUGAACCAGCCAAGUCGCGUGAGGGAAUAAGGCCCUAUGGGUCGUAAACCUCUUUUGUCGGGGAACAAAAGCGGGGACGCGUCCCCGUCUGAGUGUACCCGAAGAAAAAGCAUCGGCUAACUCCGUGCCAGCAGCCGCGGUAAUACGGAGGAUGCGAGCGUUAUCCGGAUUUAUUGGGUUUAAAGGGUGCGUAGGCGGUAUGGUAAGUCAGCGGUAAAAGCCCGGGGCUCAACCCCGGCGAGCCGUUGAAACUGCCGUUGCUAGAGAGGAAGAGAAGUAGGCGGAAUGCGCAGUGUAGCGGUGAAAUGCUUAGAUAUUGCGCAGAACUCCGAUUGCGAAGGCAGCCUACCGGCUUCUGUCUGACGCUGAGGCACGAAAGCGUGGGUAUCGAACAGGAUUAGAUACCCUGGUAGUCCACGCAGUAAACGAUGAA
rnacentral:rRNA from 1 species